AGUUCGCGGAGAGGGAAGAAUAUGGCCGCCGGGUGUGGUGAGGGCGACGCGCUUGCAGUCGCCGUCUCUUGCUUCCCCGUCCUCUGACAUCGCCUGCAGCCGAGCGGGCCCGUUCCGCCGGAGCUGAGGACCAGGUAUUCAAAUAAAGUUAAUUGCAGCUUUCUGUGAAAAUGUCAGUUUUGAUAUCACAGAGCGUCAUAAAUUAUGUAGAGGAAGAAAACAUUCCUGCUCUGAAAGCUCUUCUUGAAAAAUGCAAAGAUGUAGAUGAGAGAAAUGAGGUAAGACCAAGUUUGCAAAAUUACAUUCUUUCACAAAUAUUUGUUGACUGCCUGCUAUGUAUAGGAUAGAAGUGUGUAAGAAAUAGGUAGUUCUAACCCUUAGUAAUACUGCACUGUACUUAUGAUAGAAUGUCUUAUAGUUAAAAGUACUUCAAAUUUCAUGUUUUUGGAGUACAUUUUAACUUAUAUAAAUGACUGUUGAAUUUAGAUUUAUUGUUUUUUUUCCCCUGAUGGAAUAAUUAAUAUUCAGGAAGCUUGAUUACUGAAAUCAAGUACUUCUGUGA
rnacentral:lncRNA from 10 species